CCUACGGGAGGCAGCAGUGGGGAAUAUUGGGCAAUGGGCGCAAGCCUGACGCAGCAACGCCGCGUGAAGGAAGAAGGCUCUCGGGUUGUAAACUUCUUUUAUCAGGGACGAAGCAAGUGACGGUACCUGAUGAAUAAGCCACGGCUAACUACGUGCCAGCAGCCGCGGUAAUACGUAGGUGGCAAGCGUUAUCCGGAUUUACUGGGUGUAAAGGGCGUGUAGGCGGGAAGGUAAGUCAGAUGUGAAAACCAUGGGCUCAACCUGUGGCCUGCAUUUGAAACUGGUUUUCUUGAGUACUGGAGAGGCAGACGGAAUUCCUAGUGUAGCGGUGAAAUGCGUAGAUAUUAGGAGGAACACCAGUGGCGAAGGCGGUCUGCUGGACAGCAACUGACGCUGAGGCGCGAAAGCGUGGGGAGCAAACAGGAUUAGAUACCCGGGUAGUC
rnacentral:rRNA from 1 species